CUCUAUGUCUAUACCACCAUGAAUGUGCCCAAUCUUGUCUGGUCUUGGAAGCUAAGCAGGGUCGGCCAAGUUAGUACUUGGAUGGGAGACUGAAUGGGAAUAUCAGGUGCUGUAGACU
rnacentral:rRNA from 1 species